CCCCGUACGGGAGUACGGACCGGCAAGGCUAAAACGUCAAACGGAAUUAGACGGGACCGCGACAAGACGGUGGAGCAUGUGGUUUAAUUCGGUAAGCAAACGCGAAGAACCUUACCAAAUCCUUAGACAUCCUCUGACAACUGUAGAGAUACAGCUUCCCUUCGGGGCAGAGUGACAGGUGGUGCAUGGUUGUCGUCAGCUCGUGUCGUGAGAUGUUGGGUUAAGUCCCGCAACGAGCGCAACCCUUAAGUUUAGUUGCCAUCAUUAAGUUGGGCACUCUAGACUGACUGCCGGUGACAAACCGGAGGAAGGUGGGGACGACGUCAAAUCAUCAUGCCCCUUAUGAUUUGGGCUACACACGUGCUACAAUGGACAGGUUACAAAGGGCAGCAACGCCGCGAGGCCAAGCGAAUCCCAUAAAACUGUUCUCAGUUCGGAUUGGAGUCUGCAACUCGACUCCAUGAAGCUGGAAUCGCUAGUAAUCGUAGAUCAGCAUGCUACGGUGAAUACGUUCCCGGGUCUUGUACAC
rnacentral:rRNA from 1 species